AAUUAAACGGGAUUAUAUAUCGG
rnacentral:snRNA from 1 species